AGGAGACUUUGCUUAUUUGCUGAAUGCCAGGUUCGGUGGUUCUGGAAAUUUAAAGAACCUACAAGAGAGCAGAAGUUCAAGCAAGGAAGGGCAGCAAUAGGGAUGAAAUACUAUACCGUUACUGAGGCAGAGAUAAAGCAUCUUCCUUCACCCAUAACAUACUGAAGCAUGAAGAAAGAUGCUGAAAGCCAAGAUUUCUAAUUUGACCCUCCUACUUAGUGCUCCUGAACGUGAAGAUUCCGACUCGCUGAGGCUGUCUGCUUGUGGCAGGCAAAAUUAUCAUUCACCACGUUCACAGCUGAGAGUUUUGACGAGGUCGGUAACCAGUUCUAGCGCAGCAUGGCUCCUUCUCCCUCACCGCCAGCUUGGUAGCAGGAACAAGUGAGACUUCUGCUGCUUCCCUUCUAACGAGGUUUUCACAACCGUUCUGUUACCCUGUUGCUGCAGCCAACGUGGAUCCAAAUGCCGUGGCUACAAAGGCUUGUUACUUUCUCAUGCUGGAUCCCUCAAAUCCAAGAGCUACUUGGCAGUUUCCAAGGCAACCACCUGUGGAAUAAUUAAAAGGAUGAAGUGUUAGUGUGCCAGAUAUAAGGAAUUCUUGCCUGGAGAGAGCACUUCGUUUUCAUCUGUCUUGAAGAAUCAAUCUGCCAGCAAAGUUAAGUAGAAGCACAGAGAGAACUAUUUCAAGAAGAACGAUCCUAAACUAAGAAAGGAAGGGCAUUGAUCGCUCCAGAGGUAUUCAGCUGCAAGAAAGGAGACUCACCCCGAAUACUUAGGCACCCGAGUAAGGAAUCAAUCUGUACGGAGUCCUUCCUGGAGCUGAGAAAGGGAAUUCAGCCAUAUCCAACAGUGAGAGGCGUGCAUGUUGGUCGUCGUGGCUGUCGGUCAUGCUCAGUGUUUCUGUCCUGCGUACGUGGAAGAAAGAAAUGGUGACCGAGUUGUACAAGCAAACCAGGACAAUCGAAAAAGAUCUCGACAAGAGUACAGUUGUGUCAUGUCAGCAUAUUCAUUCCAGUUCAUGACUUGCAGAAGAAACGGGGCAGGUGCAGGAAGAUACUACAGGAGAGGAGCUUUACUAACUUGGAUCAAGGCCUGGGAUUACGCAAUGGAGCAGUGUAUUUUAGAUGCUACAGAGAAAGUUGAGAACAACGUGGUCGAAAGGAAGCAGCUAAAAGAGUCAGCGUUGCUGAGGGGCAGAGCGUAUCUAGGAGGGUGCUGCUCCCAUUUAGCGCUGGUGCCCGUGCAGUUCUGCGCGUGCUGCCCAACACCACCGUCCCACACCUGCUCAGAGCUCUUCUCCUGGCUCCUGCUUUACCCGUGGACUUCGGCAUGCAGAUAUUUCCUCUGCAAACAUCUAUUUGACUACUGCCUCUGUGCAGUCAAGUUCCAGGUCUGCACCUCCGUCCAUUGUUUUAUUUCUCUCCUGAGAUGUUUGCCUGACUUGCGCCCAUGUGAACUGAGAGCAAUCAGCUGCAGCUCACUACAGUUUCAACAGAAGGGAGCUUUUUCCCAUGCCAACCCUCUCUCCCAGACCGGUGCUUGGUCCAUGACAGGGACUCUGCCCUGCGACAGCAGCUUUCCAGUGCCUCCCUUGGAAAUCACUGGGAAGGUCCAUGUCCUUCUUGUGCUGAGGGCUCCAGAGCUGGACGCAGGGCUCCAGGGGAGGUCUCACCGAGCAGAGUAAAGGGGCAGAAUUUACCGCUUCGAAAGAUGGAGCCAAUUACAGGGAGGAGACUGAAAAGAUCACAAGUAAGCUGCAGCAAAAUGCAUAUGUGUAUGUUAGGUUUUUCUGAUAGAUAGGGACGUUAUUUUUCUAAUGUGACUAAAGUUGCUCAAUAGCUGUAGGAGAUAAAAGCAAAAACUACUCCGCAAAACAAAAUUCUUUUCAAAAUCCGACAGCCACUUUUCCCCAUCUCUUGCUUGGCUGUGUUUAAUAUGUGGAGCAUCAUGUUGUGGUCCGCUAAUUAGCUCUAUAAUUUUCAUGGCGUAUGCCAGCAUCAGUGUUUAUUAUUGAAGCACAAUGUCUGUUUUUAUCCUGAUGAUGCGUUUUGUCCUGUAACAGUAGUCAAAUGCACGAACUGAGUAGUAAAAGGGCUUCAGGAGUUAAGGAUCAGUAAAUACUCAAAGCUGUGUGUGGUCGGGUGGAUGUAAUCAAUUCCAGUGCUGCCAGAUGCUGGCUGGUUGAUCCAGAUGACAGAGAAGCAUCCUUCUUCGGCAUGCAGUGAAGAUCCCUCAUCUCUUCCAGUCUCUAGCACGACUUACAGGCCAUUAAGCAAUCCCUAAAACCUUUAGGUAAAUCUGUCAUCCCUCUUUCUUCAAAGCCAGAAGAAACAAAGCUCUUUAAUUAGGUUGGCAUAGCCUGGCCUAACCGAAAAGAUGCAGAAAUGGGGAGGGGAACGUGUAACCGCCGAGUGGUUGUGUUUCUUCUGCUGGUCGAGGAGAUGGGCAGUUCCUGGAGGGUCCGCGCUGUCCGUGGCUCUGGGAUGCUGCAGUGAUGGGAAGUGUUGGCUGGCUGUGUUCCUGUUUCAUUCUGUAAGAAAAUGAGGUGCUGAUCUCAUGAGAGCGCCUUGCAUAUGCCAAAAGAAGAACGUGUUGUUUGGGGGAAAACCUAUUUAUAAAUACAUACAAACUGAAAGGUAAAUAAUUUCUGUUUCCAGUAAAUGGAUAGAAUAUGCUCUCUGCAUUGGUUAUGUUUCCUGCUGUGACGUAUGUAGCGUAAAUAUAUCUGGUAUAUAUUGUGUUUGCCAGUGUGCAGGAAGCGGAUAUCUUUAAAAAUUCAAUUUCUGGUUCUUUGCUUCUUCAGCAUAACAAAGAAGGGUUGAAAGGUGGCUUGUUUUGCUCUGAAAAUAUUUCUGGCUUGGGUUUGGGGUUUUUUUGCGGUGUCAUACGUGAUGGGAGGAGUAAAGAAUAUUUGUCUUCAGCUAAAAGAUCCUCUGCAGUCUGUUUGUCAGGCGUGGGAAUUCAGCUGGGAUUAAAAACAAUCACACUUGGAGCGGUCUGAUUGAAUUUCCUAUCCCUCCUAAUUGCUAUCAGUUUUUUUCCGUGUGAUGACACUAAUUUCACUUCCUCUUCAGUAAUCGUGGAAUCUUUCAAAGUAGUCAGAAUUUGAGUUUGUAGGGUUCUUUUCCUGCUAUAAUACAGAAAAAUAAAUGUUUUUGUGCGUGUUUAUUUUUAUUUUUAAAAGCUACGUAAGAGCAAUUCUUUCCAGGUCACCUUUUACCCUUGAACAGCCAAACUAGCACCAUCAUUUACAUAGCGAUGUAAAGGAAUCCAGUGCUGAAGGUAAGCAGAGGGGCAGAGGAGAGCUACAAGCGCCUGGUUUUAAGAGCUCACUUCGUAGUGCCAUAAGUGGAUGCGAUACAAUGCGCGGCACAAGAAUAUAAACGGUAGGUGUAGUUUUUGAGUGCUUCAUGACAGGGGCAUUUCUGUUCAGCGCUGGGAUUAGCACUUCUAUUGAAACUUACAUAACAGCUACGUUGCCAGGGUGGUUUCUAAAAAUGAUGCUCAUCGCUUUCCAGAUUCCGAAAGCUUUAAGACAGAAGAAAUAUUUUAAACUGAAGAUUAUUAUUUUUUUUUUUUCCCCCCUGAUGAUCAUCGUAUUUUCUCCCAGAUCCCAAUGAGAUACUUCUGCAUACGUAAGACAGCAGUGGGGAUGGAAGAAAAAAGUUCUUAUAACGUAAAGACACGGGCAAGAAGCAGUGAGUUUUGUUGUGGGUAACUUUGGUAACAUUGCCUUUGUUGAUAUAUCUUAGAAUCCCAGCAUGGCAGGAGUUGGAAGGGACUUCUGGAGAUCACCCAGUCCAACCCCCCCCCGCUAGAG